rnacentral:rRNA from 1 species
UGGGGAAUUUUGGACAACGGGGGAAACCCUGAUCCAGCCAUCCCGCGUGUGCGAUGAAGGCCUUCGGGUUGUAAAGCACUUUUGGCAGGAAAGAAACGUCAUGGGUUAAUACCCCGUGAAACUGACGGUACCUGCAGAAUAAGCACCGGCUAACUACGUGCCAGCAGCCGCGGUAAUACGUAGGGUGCAAGCGUUAAUCGGAAUUACUGGGCGUAAAGCGUGCGCAGGCGGUUCGGAAAGAAAGAUGUGAAAUCCCAGAGCUCAACUUUGGAACUGCAUUUGUAACUACCGGGCUAGAGUGUGUCAGAGGGAGGUGGAAUUCCGCGUGUAGCAGUGAAAUGCGUAGAUAUGCGGAGGAACACCGAUGGCGAAGGCAGCCUCCUGGGAUAACACUGACGCUCAUGCACGAAAGCGUGGGGAGCAAACAGG